rnacentral:rRNA from 2 species
CCUUACCAGGACUUGACAUGUAAGGAACCCUGUAGAGAUACGGGGGUGCCCCUUUCGGGGAACCUUAACACAGGUGGUGCAUGGUUGUCGUCAGCUCGUGUCGUGAGAUGUUGGGUUAAGUCCCGCAACGAGCGCAACCCCUGUUGUUAGUUGCUACCAUUAAGUUGAGCACUCUAACGAGACUGCCGAGGUCAACUCGGAGGAAGGUGGGGAUGACGUCAAAUCAUCAUGCCCCUUAUGUCCUGGGCUACACACGUGCUACAAUGGCCGGUACAAAGAGAAGCAAUCCCGCGAGGGGGAGCAAAUCUUCAAAACCGGUCCCAGUUCGGAUUGUAGGCUGCAACUCGCCUACAUGAAGCCGGAGUUGCUAGUAAUCGCGGAU